rnacentral:rRNA from 1 species
CCUACGGGAGGCAGCAGUGAGGAAUAUUGGUCAAUGGGCGAAAGCCUGAACCAGCCAAGUCGCGUGAGCGACGACGGUCCUAUGGAUUGUAAACCUCGUUUGUCGGGGAACAAAGGCGCACACGGGUGGGCGUGUGAGUGUACCCGACGAAAACACAUCGGCUAACUCCGUUCCAGCAGCCGCGGUAAUACGGAGGAUGCAAGCGUUAUCCGGAUUUAUUGGGUUUAAAGGGUACGGAGGCGGAUAGUCAAGUCAGCGGUAAAAAUGCGGUGCUCAACGCCGUACAGCCUUUGAUACUAGCAGUCUUGAGUGGGCGAGAGGUAGGCGGAAUGCGGGGUGUAGCGGUGAAAUGCAUAGAUAUCACGCAGAACUCCGAUUGCGAAGGCAGCAUACCGGCGCCCUACUGACGCUGAGGCACGAAAGCGUGGGUAUCGAACAGGAUUAGAUACCCGUGUAGUC